GGAGAUGGAUUCUGAGACACGAAUCCAGGCCCUACGGGGUGCAGCAGGCGCGAAAACUUUACAAUGCUGGCAACAGCGAUAAGGGAACCUCGAGUGCCAGGUUACAAAUCUGGCUGUCGAGAUGCCUAAAAAGCAUUUCAUAGCAAGGGCCGGGCAAGACCGGUGCCAGCCGCCGCGGUAACACCGGCGGCUCGAGUGGUAACCGUUAUUAUUGGGUCUAAAGGGUCUGUAGCCGGCCGGAUAAGUCUCUUGAGAAAUCUGGCAGCUUAACUGUCAGGCUUUCAGGAGAUACUGUCUGGCUCGAGGCCGGGAGAGGUGAGAGGUACUUCAGGGGUAGGGGUGAAAUCUUGUAAUCCUUGAAGGACCACCAGUGGCGAAGGCGUCUCACCAGAACGGACCUGACGGCAAGGGACGAAAGCUAGGGGCACGAACCGGAUUAGAUACCCGGGUAGUCCUAGCCGUAAACGAUACUCGCUAGGUGUCGGCCACGGUGCGACCGUUGUCGGUGCCGUAGGGAAGCCGUGAAGCGAGC
rnacentral:rRNA from 1 species